CUAGGCAACCGGCCUCCGCAGUCAGGGGACCGCUCUGUGGUUGGAAGGGCCCUGCCAGUUUCUUAAAAUAUCAGACCUCAGAGCACAUUUAGUCCCAGAGAAGAGGGGAGAAUCCAGCCAAUUUCAGCCCGGCGGAUGAGGGCCCGUUACUGUUGUGAUUUCCACGGCAUUUGCCAAAUGUGCUGUGUUAUCCUUGAGGAUGAAAUGACAAAACGCUCUCGCAGACAGGCGUCCCACGUCUUCACCGCGGCCAAGUAUCGACGGUAUUGAUCAUGCGGCCCUGGGAUCCCCCGCCCAGGAAGUGAGACACUCGGGGCUCCAGGGGCCCCCGCCCCUCCCCCACCCGGCACCCACUCCUCAGCGGGCCAUCGGCGUCCUCGGGGGCAGCGGGCAGCGGGGCCUGGCACGUGCUGGUCGCUCUGUGGACCCUCGGUGCCAGGAUGGGGGAACGAGAAACCAGGAGUCUGGGGGGGUCGGAGACAGGCUGCUGGAUUCUCAGCGCUACGCCCCUGCUUGGUCAGCUGGCCUCGCCCUCGGGGAUUCCUCUCCCUGCCCCCCGGGGGCUCCCUGCAAGGCCUUGGGGACCCUGGAGACAGUGACAGCCCUCCCCGUGGGGGGGGGGGGGUUCCGUGUUAUGCUCGAGAAGUGAGUGUGCACAGAACUUUGUGAAUUGCUUUCUUUCCUGUUUUAUGAACUUCUCCGAAUGCCUGCACAUUACUCUCCCGAGGGACGGGGGGAGAUAAAUAGCAAUUAAAGUCUUGUCAUCCGACUCGCUCAGGCCGUUAAGUUGUUCAACCUUGCAUAAAAAACCGGAGUGUACUUAACGCGGAGGAGCACCUGGGCGCGUGGCAGUAAGCGUAAAUCGGUGUCUAACGACGCGCUCCCGCCCACCGGGCUCGCGGCUCCCCCGGCCGGCGCGACCCCGGCCCGGGCUCCCGGUCGGCUGGCCUGCGCGGGGCGCUCUGCCCCGGGCCCAGGCAGAGAGGACGGCUCACAGGCUGUGGCUGGGCCUCCGGGCCCUCUCCGCGUCCCCAGCCUGGCCGGGCAGCUGGAACCGCGUUUGGAGAAGCCGCUCGCUGCGCCGUCUGCUUGGACAAACAUGGCCGCGUCCCAGGACAGCGGUGCCACGGCUCUCGGGCCACGCCUGCGUGCCAGGCAGCCAGCUCGAAGCCACACAGGGCUGGUGGGUCCUGAGGCCUGGCCCUUGGCCCUGGCGGGAGACGAGGGCAGCGGUGGGCUUGGUAAGUCUCCUCUGCCCCAGGCAGCCACGGGCAGGGCCGCAGCGUCCCGCCUGCCAGGUGGCCCCCGGGCCCUUCCAGGGGGCCGGCGUCUGUUCUGGGCCCCCCCUCCUCUGGCAGCACGGGCGGCAGGUCCCGUCCUCACUUGCGGCCUCGUUUUACGGCGUCCCCGGAGAACAACGGCUCAGGCUAUGCGGAUUCGUUCCCCUCCGCACGAGGCUCACCUACUUCGACACACGCGGUUUAGCUUCAAUUAUUUAUCGCGACACCGGAGAGGCCCCGAUCAAAGCGCCAAAGCGUGUUGAGCCGCAGCCUCGGCGCGGGGGACGGGUGGGGCAGGCCCGCGGAGGGGAGCGGGCUGGGGCGGGCCGCGUGGUCCCGCUGCCCCCCCAGGCGGUGACGGAGGUGCCACGCCUCGCCACGCUUGGAGAUGACGUCUUGUUCCCGCGCCGCCCAGGGAGCCCAUGGGAGCCUGGAGCUGGCAACGGGAUCUUAAGACGA